GACGAACGCUGGCGGCGUGCUUAACACAUGCAAGUCGAACGGAAAGGCCCCUUUGGGGGUCCUCGAGUGGCGAACGGGUGAGUAACACGUGAGUAACCUGCCCUUGACUUCGGGAUAACUUCAGGAAACUGGGGCUAAUACCGGAUAGGAAUCCUUGCUGCAUGGUGGGGGUUGGAAAGCUUCGGCGGUUUUGGAUGGACUCGCGGCUUAUCAGCUUGUUGGUGGGGUAGUGGCUUACCAAGGCUUUGACGGGUAGCCGGGCUGAGAGGGCGACCGGCCACAUUGGGACUGAGAUACGGCCCAGACUCCUACGGGAGGCAGCAGUGGGGAAUAUUGCACAAGGGGCGGAAGCCUGAUGCAGCAACGCCGCGUGCGGGAUGACGGCCUUCGGGUUGGAAACCGCUUUCAGCAGGGGCGAAGCUUGUGGUGACGGUACCUGCAGAAGAAGCACCGGCUAACUACGUG
rnacentral:rRNA from 1 species